UACGUAGGGUGCAAGCGUUAAUCGGAAUUACUGGGCGUAAAGCGUGCGCAGGCGGUUAUGCAAGACAGAUGUGAAAUCCCCGGGCUUAACUUGGGAACUGCAUUUGUGACUGCAUGGCUAGAGUGCGGCAGAGGGGGAUGGAAUUCCGCGUGUAGCAGUGAAAUGCGUAGAUAUGCGGAGGAACACCGAUGGCGAAGGCAAUCCCCUGGGCCUGCACUGACGCUCAUGCACGAAAGCGUGGGGAGCAAACAGG
rnacentral:rRNA from 1 species